AUCUAGUACAAUCCAUGCAUGCUUCCACAUAUUUUGGCAGGAGAAAGUAGGAGUCCACUGACAAUGGUUUGGGAUAUUACUAGCCAGUGUUCCUGAAUUUAUACAUUUUUUAUCUCUUUCUGCCUUUCACACUUUUUGCUACAGUAAUCUACACACAAGACUUGCUCAAUGCUUUCAUGAUUUUAACCACAAAGAGGAAGAGAAAAACAAGAAGGGCAUGGUAUACAGUGACACACCGUUUGCAGUAGAAGCGAGGGGAAAUGAUCUGAACAACUGA
ensembl:lincRNA